rnacentral:rRNA from 1 species
GAUGAACGCUGGCGGCGUGCUUAAUACAUGCAAGUCGAGCGAAUCGGGGACGGGUGAGUAACACGCGUAAAACCUCCUACAUGACUGUGAUAACCUCGGGAAACCGGAGCUAAAUCGGACACUUAUACAUGGAUCCGCGUGGCAUUAGCUGGUUGGUAAGGUAACGGCUUACCAAGGCAACCAUGCAUAGCCGACCGGAGAGGGUGAUCGGCCACACUGGAACUGGGACACGGUCCAGACUCCUACGGGAGGAAGAAGUGGGGAAUCUUCCGCAAUGGGCGAAAGCCUGACGGGGAAACGCGGCGUGAGUGAUGAAGGUCUUCGGAUCGUAAAACUCUUUAAUUAGGGAAGCGGUACCUAAUCAGAAAGCCACGGCUAACUACGUGCCAGCAGCCGCGGUAAUAC